AGAUCCUGGUCCUGGUGCUGUCCUCCCAGCCGGCACAUAUGAAAGUGUCACGGUCUGUGGCUCUGCAUCCGGGGAGCCACGGGAUAGUGCGGUGGUCACACCCCCGGCUGGGCCGCCUUCAACACACCUGCGUCACAUUUGAGGCAAUCACCAGAGGACUACUUCAACCAGCACUGACGGCUACUCCUCGUCAGUCCGUUAGUCUCCCCUCAGUGUGAUCAGCGUUCGGCGUGGAAGCCUGUUGCCUGCUGUCCUCCUGCCUGAUUGCCUCCCUCCCUUGGAUUCCCUCCACGGACACCUCUCCCCUCAAAGCUCCACGGUGCUAUUAAUUGUGUCCCCCCUUUGUGUUGCAGUUUCCCCACGGUCCCGAUUAUGGCGCUCCUGGGCUCCGCACUCCUCGUUUUCCCCCACGGCGUGAGCCUUAGUUUUCCGUUCCCCUGGCUUCGUUAACGACUCAACACGGACUUCCGGAAGCCGUGGCACGGAACGGCAGUUGACCCGGGGGGAGAAUCCUGAGCUGGAAUCACCGCACCUGUGCUUUAUCAUUUCGCCGGCUGCUACUAAUCUGAAGCAAACCUAUUUAAUGGUGCGGUCGGGUCACAACCAACGCUGGAACGUUGAGCUAAACCAGAAUCCAGGGAUCGGAGGAGGAGCGGGCACAAAAGGAGUUGUUUUGGAUUAUCACUGCACUGUCACCACGGGGAGAGGUCACCGUAUCACUGCACUGCCCUUUUGGAUUACAGACUCGAACUGUUGCCUUAUUUUUCACUGUGAAUAAAAUUCACUGCCACGCUGCAAGGAGUCUUGCACCUGAGUCCUUUAACUCAAUUCUCCAUGACAAAAAUAUGCUGCGCCAAAAACUGGUCCACCCUAAGGAUCGGGUCCCC